GCCGCCGCUGCCAUUCCCGAGACCUUUCUAACCGCUGCAUCGUUGGGCACCACCACCACUUCUGAGCCGUCGGACUCCGCCGUAGCAGAGGCGCCGUUGUCCUCCGCUCUCGCCGCAAUGCUCGACGUCGUCGAUGCCGAUGUUGGGAACAAAGUUCUGUCGACGGACGGGCAGGAAGGAUUUUGGCGUGAGGAAAGGG
rnacentral:lncRNA from 1 species